rnacentral:tRNA from 1 species
GCACCGGCUGGCACGGCGGAGGGAGCCCCGGUGUCCGGGGCACCGGCCGGAACGGCGGAGGAAGCCCCGGUGUCCGAGGCACCCGCCGGCACG